rnacentral:misc_RNA from 1 species
GUUUUGCGGCAUCUUCUGCUCUGGUGGCUGCUGCUCCGGCAGCAGUACUGCUUUGCGCCGCCAGUGAUGCGCUGGUAUCAGAUGCGGCGGCGUGAGUGGAUGCCUCCGAUGCUGAUGACGAGGCGGCUGUUGCGCUGGCCGCUGCUGUACUUGCUGACGUUGCUGCAUUUGUCUCAGAUGUUUUCGCUGCGGCUGCCGAUGCGGCUGGCGCC